CCCUUAGAUGUUCUGGGCCGCACGCGCGCUACACUGAUGAAUGCAACGAGCUCUACCCUUGACCGAAAGGCCCGGGUAAACUUGUGAAACUUCAUCGUGAUGGGGAUAGAUUAUUGCAAUUAUUAAUCUUCAACGAGGAAUUCCUAGUAAGCGCGAGUCAUCAGCUCGCGUUGAUUACGUCCCUGCCCUUUGUGCACACCGCCCGUCGCUCCUACCGAUUGAAUGGUCCGGUGAAAUCUUCGGAUUGCUGACCAAGAUCCAGCAAUGGAGCUUGGUUGCGAGAAGUUGAUUAAACCUUAUUAUUUAGAGGAAGGAGAAGUCGUAACA
rnacentral:rRNA from 1 species